CCUACGGGAGGCAGCAGUGGGGAAUCUUUGGCAAUGGGCGCAAGCCUGACCCAGCAACACCGCGUGAAGGAAGGAGGCUUUCCGGUUGUUAACUUCUUGUGUCAUGGGAGCGUAGAAGACGGUAACUGACGAAUAAGCAACGGCUAACUACGUGCCAGCAGCCGCGGUAAUUCGUAGGUGGCAAGCGUUGUCCGGAUUUACUGGGUGUAAAGGGCGUGUAGGCGGGUUGACAAGUCAGAUGUGAAAUCCUGCGGCUUAACCGAAGAACUGCAUUUGAAACUGUUGAACUUGAGUACUGGAGAGGCAGACGGAAUUCCUGGUGUAGCGGUGAAAUGCGUAGAUAUUAGGAGGAACACCAGUGGCGAAGGCGGUCUGCUGGACAGCAACUGACGGUGAGGCGCGAAAGCGGGGGGAGCAAACAGGAUUAGAUACCCCUGUAGUC
rnacentral:rRNA from 1 species